CUGCCAUCAUUCCUUUUCACAUUUUGGCACAUGCCGAGCAAGUUCUUGUCCGUGUGUAUCCGCGCCCGUUAAGCCUGAUGUAUUUGAUAAAAUCAUUCAAAAAUCGAAGAAAAUCGUACUAAAUUCAUCAGUAUCGCGUAUCGAUUGUUCGCUAGUGAAACAACGUCAGAGAAAGUAGGAAGGAGGUCAGCAUAAGCAGCGUUUAGAAAGGGAUUCUAUUGGCCCCACCAGCAGCAGGAGAUUGAGGAACAGUAAACAGAAGCAGGCAAAAGCUACAACAGCAAAAUGUCGUUCGAGGAAACUUCUGCAGAUCGGAAUGUUGAGAUCUGGAAGAUCAAGAAGCUAAUCAAAAGCUUGGAAAUGGCUCGAGGCAAUGGUACUAGCAUGAUUUCGCUGAUCAUCCCACCGAAGGAUCAGAUCAGUCGUGUGAGCAAGAUGUUGGCCGAUGAGUUCGGCACGGCGUCCAACAUUAAGUCUCGCGUAAACCGUCUUUCCGUACUGGGUGCCAUUACCUCGGUCCAGCACCGGCUUAAACUAUACACCAAAGUGCCUCCGAAUGGACUCGUGAUCUACUGCGGUACGAUCGUGACCGAAGAGGGCAAGGAGAAGAAGGUCAACAUUGACUUCGAACCGUUCAAACCGAUCAAUACCUCUUUAUACCUCUGCGAUAAUAAGUUUCACACAGAAGCACUGACGGCACUGCUGGCGGACGACAAUAAGUUCGGUUUCAUCGUGAUGGACGGUAACGGCGCACUGUUCGGUACACUUCAGGGUAACACACGUGAAGUGCUGCACAAAUUCACCGUUGAUCUUCCGAAGAAGCAUGGACGAGGUGGUCAAUCCGCGUUGCGUUUCGCGCGUCUGCGUAUGGAGAAACGUCACAACUACGUCCGAAAGGUGGCAGAAGUUGCUACCCAGCUGUUCAUCACCAACGAUAAGCCAAACAUUGCCGGACUGAUCCUUGCCGGUAGUGCCGACUUCAAGACGGAGCUCAGCCAGUCAGAUAUGUUCGAUCCGCGGUUGCAAUCGAAAGUGAUCAAACUGGUGGACGUGUCGUACGGUGGCGAGAAUGGUUUCAAUCAAGCUAUCGAACUGGCUGCAGAAUCGCUGCAAAACGUUAAAUUUAUUCAGGAGAAAAAGCUGAUCGGGCGAUACUUUGACGAAAUUUCACAGGAUACCGGCAAGUACUGUUUCGGUGUGGAGGACACGCUGAAGGCGUUGGAACUAGGCUCGGUUGAAACACUUAUCUGCUGGGAGAACUUGGACAUUCAACGCUACGUGCUGAAGAAUCAUGUCAGUGCGACAUCCACAACAGUAUUGCACCUGACCCCGGAGCAAGAGAAAGACAAGUCCCACUUCACUGACAAGGAGAGCGGCGUAGAGAUGGAACUGGUUGAAUCUCAGCCGCUUCUCGAAUGGCUUGCCAACAACUACAAGAGCUUCGGUGCUACUUUGGAAAUAAUCACUGACAAGUCACAGGAAGGCAGUCAGUUCGUGCGAGGAUUCGGUGGAAUAGGCGGUAUUCUUCGCUACAAAGUUGACUUUCAGUCACUCCAGGCCGACGAGCCAUUGGACGACGUUGACCUUGACGAUUACUAAAUCAAUUACAUUUCAUUUGUAGUAUUACGACUUUAAAACCGAAUUCACGCUGUUCGACGUACAGAGACAACCAAACGGCACUGACAAACUAAAAUUUACUUUCCACUUUUUCAAUUCCGUAACAGAAAACGCGUUCUAGGCCGAUUUUUUCGAAUAGUAAAAAAACAUAACAAAUUGAAAUCAAACUAAGAAAAUGUUUGUGAAACAGCGAAAACACAGUAGGGAUUACUGCCACCAGGUCCCUAGAUUAAAAACCGCAAAUCAAAGUCAAGCAAAAAAUAUUGAAAUCGAACACAUACAUAAAAUAUAACAUUGAAUAGUUAAUAUAAAUCAGUCAACUGAUGGGGUGAAACAACUGAACUAAUCGGUUCCAAGCCUGUGUGGUGAGUGCGUAUCUAGAUAAAAAGCGGAUCCGGUAAACCGUUUUGUAUAAAUAUUAGCAUGGCAGCCUCUGCAAUCUCUCGUUUUUACUAUCUCUCUGGCUUUGAUUUUCUGCCUCAGUAUUCAUUCAACCGCUGCUAGGUGUCACCGAUUGAACAACAGCUGAUUUAGCCACUUGGCAACCGUGAGUGAGAGCAUAAACGAUUUAGCGGAGGUGGCUCGUUUUUAUGAUGAUAUAUCAUUGGAAGCAUAUUAACAAUUCAAUAUUUUCUACUACCAUACCGAUAGCAUGACAGGAAACCACAGAACGCUUGGGUGUAGGAGUUAUUAAAAAUUAUUAGUAAGCUAGUGAUCCAGAUAACAGCAGACUUACAAUACGUAUUAAUCGCAUUGAUUAGGAUUAACAUCCGAAUGUUGACGAUCGGACGAAAAAAAAACUUUGUAAUUAGAGAUGUGUUCACAAGAAAACGUUACUCCAAAGACAUGAAAGUGCUAGCUCAAAUUAGCUUGUGUCGGCGAGUCUAUACCUAUGUCUAAUUUUUGGGAUUAUCGCACUAGAAGCACAAAAAUAGAUACUGCAAAAAUACAAACAUUUAUCGCCUUGCACAACGGUGUGAGGAUGUCAAGAACGUUGUCAGGUGACAGGUCUGUUAUCGGAAUCUCACGUGGAAUAAUAUUUUUACCAUUUGGUCCAAAAUCAGACCCGAAUAUACUGGCUCACAUUAUACCAAACUAACAGACUCGAUAGCACGACCGACCAUAAGUAUCUUGCGUUUAGAUGAAAGAGGCACCUGCACCAUGCACAGCGCCGUCGAUGACUUUUAAGAGUGAAGGAAUUUUGCGCUACAAGGUAGAUUUCCAAAGUAUGCAACUAGACGAACUGGACAACGGUUGUUUCGAUUUAGAUGAUUAUUAAAUUUUUUAUGUUUUAUGAAAAUAUCAGUUAUACUGCAGGUUAGAAAAUAUACAAAAAGAGGAUAAUAAGAGUAGCUGCGGCGAAACCAA